rnacentral:lncRNA from 1 species
CACAAAUGUCACCAGUAAGCAAAGCCUCACUGUCUGGGUGUCAUCUGGCUUGUCUGUGCACUCCCGGAUCACAAUUGCAUAUGUGAAACUGGUCACAUUGGACACCAUGCUUCCACUGACCACAAGAAAACGCCUCCUGCCCCAGGACCCUGCGGGUGGUCACACUUUAGCAGUUGUGUCUGCCUGCACCACAGGAUCCUCCUCAGCAGCUUUACGCCAGCUGUCCUGGGCUUAUUUCCUCCAGGCUGGACAUGACUGUGGCCAUAUCGAAUGAGAGCAGCUGUGUCGCCCAUUGAAGACACUCGAGAGACAGGUCCAGCCUGCUGACACCCCCUUAAGAGGAAGGGAGGACCACACGGAACACAGCUCCCACACGAACCCACUCCUUCCCCACUGGCAUGUGGACUGGGGACUGGGACCCCAGGACUCUUUAGCACGCAGCUUUUCAUGAAUCAUCCUUGCUACACAUGGGACUAUUCAUAAGUUGCCCAACGAUACCCGCCCUCCGGAUGACUUCAGAUGUGGAAAUAACAGCCUCAUUCUUUGCUGGGAGCAUCCACACGGCUGGAGAUCUUCUGUACUGGAACAACUUGGUGCUUCCUCAUGCAGCACUUGGCAUCCAUUUCAAUUCUCUCCUAAACAAGUUUGGUUCUUUG